rnacentral:rRNA from 1 species
GGCUGAAACUCGCCUAUAUGAAGUCGGAAUUGCUGUAAUCGCAGAUCAGCAUGCUGCGGUGAAUACGUUCCCGGGCCUUGUACACACCGCCCGUCACACCAUGAGAGUCGAUAACACCCGAAGCCUGUAGUCUAACCAUAAGGGGGACGCAGUCGAAGGUGGGAUUGAUAAUUAGGGUGAAGUCGUAACAAGGUAUC